UGACAGUCUCCCUCCCUUCUCCACAGCUGAGAUAGGCAAACCUGACUUCAAGCUGGAGGUGAUUGAAAGCCAAAAGAAAACCACCCUGUAUGUGACUGACCCACUCACCGCCCUGUUUAAAGAUGGCCACCAGCUGAACAUCAGGGAUAUCUUUGCUGACCAGCUGCACUAUAAAGUCACCUAUCGGAAAAACAAAAGCACUGGAAAGGUGAGUAAAAGGAGACAUCACGAUAUCGGUCUCAAACAG
rnacentral:misc_RNA from 1 species